rnacentral:rRNA from 1 species
AACGAACGCUGGCGGCAUGCCUAACACAUGCAAGUCGAACGAGACCUUCGGGUCUAGUGGCGCACGGGUGCGUAACGCGUGGGAACCUGCCCUUAGGUUCGGAAUAACUCCCCGAAAGGGGUGCUAAUACCGGAUAAUGUCUUCGGACCAAAGAUUUAUCGCCUUUGGAUGGGCCCGCGUUGGAUUAGCUAGUUGGUAGGGUAAAAGCCUACCAAGGCGACGAUCCAUAGCUGGUCUGAGAGGAUGAUCAGCCACACUGGGACUGAGACACGGCCCAGACUCCUACGGGAGGCAGCAGUGGGGAAUAGUGGACAAUGGGCGAAAGCCUGAUCCAGCAAUGCCGCGUGAGUGAUGAAGGCCUUAGGGUUGUAAAGCUCUUUUACCCGGGAUGAUAAUGACAGUACCGGGAGAAUAAGCGCCGGCUAACUCCGU